rnacentral:tRNA from 2 species
GCCUCGAUGGCGGAAUUGGUAGACGCAGCGGAUUCAAAAUCCGCCGUCCUUCACCGGACAUGUGGGUUCGAGUCCCACUCGAGGUA